GACGAACGCUGGCGGCGUGCUUAACACAUGCAAGUCGAACGGCAAGGCACUGCUUUUGUGGGGUGCUCGAGUGGCGAACGGGUGAGUAACACGUGAGUAACCUGACCUUGACUUUGGGAUAACUUCAGGAAACUGGGGCUAAUACCGGAUCGGAGCUCCUGCUGCAUGGAGGGGGUUGGAAAGUCUCGGCGGUUGGGGAUGGACUCGCGGCUUAUCAGCUUGUUGGUGGGGUAGUGGAUUACCAAGGCUUUGACGGGUCGCCGGCCUGAGAGGGUGACCGGCCACAUUGGGACUGAGAUACGGCCCAGACUCCUACGGUAGGCAGCAGUGGGGAGUAUUGCACAAUGGGCGGAAGCCUGAUGCAGCAACGCCGCGUGCGGGAUGACGGCCUUCGGGUUGUAAACCGCUUUCGCCUGUGACGAAGCGUGAGUGACGGUAAUGGGUAAAUAAGCACCGGCUAACUACGUG
rnacentral:rRNA from 1 species